rnacentral:rRNA from 1 species
UACGUAGGGGCCGAGCGUUGUCCGGAGUUACUGGGCGUAAAGCGCGCGCAGGCGGCCCGCCAAGCAUGGCGUGAAAGCCCCCGGCUCAACCGGGGAGGGUCGCCGUGGACUGGCGGGCUUGAGGGCGGCAGGGGUCGGUGGAAUGCCCGGUGUAGUGGUGAAAUGCGUAGAGAUCGGGCGGAACACCCGUGGCGAAGGCGGCCGACUGGGCCGGCCCUGACGCUGAGGCGCGAAGGCGUGGGGAGCGAACGGGAUUAGAAACCCCAGUAGUCC